UUUUGAGUGUGAGCACUCUGGCCACCCACGUGUGAAUAGCAUGCCUCUCUCUCAGCCUUCUGUCACUUGUGCAUGCUUCGUUCUCAGGCUUUCGUCCCCAGCUGGCAUGGGAGACGGAUGAAAACAUGGAUAACGAUGCUCUGAUAUGACGUUGGGUGAUGGUGGAGAGAUGCCCAGAGGACAAGGGGAGCACAGAGGAACAGUGAGUAUACUGGAGAGGGGAUGGAGGAGCAGGAUGGGAUGCCUGGGUCUUAAAGAUGGAGCAGAUUUAGUCAAGUGUAUAAGAGAAAAAGGGCAGUUCACAUCGAGGGAACAGUACCAGCAAAGGUCUGGAGCAUGAGACAGCAUGAUCUAUGUAAGGAAACAGAAGCAGUUCCAGCAGGGGCUGGAACAUAAACUAGUGGGUGGGGAAGGGUAAGACAUGGGGAUGCCGAGAGGAAUGGCGGCCAGGCUAUCCAUGGAAGACUUUGUAUGCCAUUUAAGAAACGAGAUUCAUCAUGGAAUAUAUGAGGAGACAUUGUGGGGUCUGAAAGAAGCAAGUGAUGGGGUCAGGUCUAGUGCACUCUGUGAACAGGCACAAACCCAGAGAUGAGGAGGCUGGUUAUGAAGCAGUCAAGGUGAGAGCAGGUGUCACCUGCACUAUGGCAGUGUGAACGGUGAUGGAAGGAAGAAACGGAUUUGCUCCAUAUUUAGGCAAGCAAAUGACGACUGGGGGUUGAUUGGAAUUAAGGACUGAGAAAAGGGAGAACAACUGCUUUAGCUAGAGCAUGGGUUGGGAAUGAGGGGCAUGCCCACUUACUUUGAUCUUUUACAUCAAAGGGUGUGAACUAAUUUCAAAUGCCGAAGCCCUGUUGCUAAUACUGGCAUGUUCUUCUUGUUCAUUUGUUUCCUGCAGAGGCCUGGAGAAAACUGCUAGGGCAGCCUGGGAGGAGGUCUUUACCUGGAUUUGCAUGCUAAGUAGUCGUCAGCUCAACUUGGAAUGUGGAAAAGUCACAGGGUAUGAGGAUGAGUGGAGUUCUGCCUGGAGGUGAAGAUUCGAACCAAAGCAAUAAUUGUUCUUUAGGUAAACCUCAGCGGUUAGCAACUCUCCAGUGCCCCACAAUGAUGAAUGGAGAGUUGGACCUCUCCGGUGCCAUUCCUAAGUUCGGUUUGCCUGCUUGUAAAAGAUGUGCUUUGCAAAGUGCUUUAUACAUAGUAAGUAUUAGUUCAGCUGGAUCUAAAACAAGUUUGGACACCAGAGUUUCUUCUGCGGCCAGUAAAAUGUGUUAAUAUCCUCCCUCCUUCCAUCUCUGCCUCCCUUCCUUCCUUCUCUCUCUCUCUUUCUUUCUCUUUUUCUUUUCGUCCAGAACCACUUUUUCACCAAACCACAGAUGUUUGCCUUUUCAUGUU
rnacentral:lncRNA from 1 species